GCCUGGGUGGCUCAGUCGGUUGAGCAUCCGACUUCAGCUCAGGUCACGAUCUCGCGGUCCGUGAGUUCGAGCCCCGCUUCGGGCU
rnacentral:tRNA from 1 species